rnacentral:rRNA from 1 species
GAUGAACGCUGGCGGCGUGCCUAAUACAUGCAAGUCGAGCGAACAGACGAGGAGCUUGCUCCUCUGACGUUAGCGGCGGACGGGUGAGUAACACGUGGAUAACCUACCUAUAAGACUGGGAUAACUUCGGGAAACCGGAGCCAAUACCGAAUAAUAUAUUGAACCGCAUGGUUCAAUAGUGAAAGACGGUUUUGCUGUCACUUAUAGAUGGAUCCGCGCCGCAUUAGCUAGUUGGUAAGGUAACGGCUUACCAAGGCAACGAUGCGUAGCCGACCUGAGAGGGUGAUCGGCCACACUGGAACUGAGACACGGUCCAGACUCCUACGGGAGGCAGCAGUAGGGAAUCUUCCGCAAUGGGCGAAAGCUUGACGGAGCAACGCCGCGUGAGUGAUGAAGGUCUUCGGAUCGUAAAACUCUGUUAUUAGGGAAGAACAAAUGUGUAAGUAACUAUGCACGUCUUGACGGUACCUAAUCAGAAAGCCACGGCUAACUACGUG